rnacentral:rRNA from 1 species
AGCGAACGCUGGCGGCAGGCCUAACACAUGCAAGUCGAACGAACCUUUCGGGGUUAGUGGCGGACGGGUGAGUAACACGUGGGAACGUGCCUUUAGGUUCGGAAUAACUCAGGGAAACUUGUGCUAAUACCGAAUGUGCUCUUCGGGGGAAAGAUUUAUCGCCUUUAGAGCGGCCCGCGUCUGAUUAGCUAGGUGGUUGAGGUAAUGGCUCACCAAGGCGACGAUCAGUAGCUGGUCUGAGAGGAUGAUCAGCCACAUUGGGACUGAGACACGGCCCAAACUCCUACGGGAGGCAGCAGUGGGGAAUCUUGCGCAAUGGGCGAAAGCCUGACGCAGCCAUGCCGCGUGAAUGAUGAAGGUCUUAGGAUUGUAAAAUUCUUUCACCGGGGACGAUAAUGACGGUACCCGGAGAAGAAGCCCCGGCUAACUUCGUG